rnacentral:tRNA from 1 species
GGAGGCGAGAGGGUGCCUGGUGGCCCCCGCGGUCUUCAAAACCGCAGGUCGCGAGUAUCUCGGGACGGCGGGUUCGAUUCCCGUUCGCCUCCGCCA